UACAGAGGAGCCAAGCGUUGUCCGGAUUGACUGGGCGUAAAGCGCACGCAGGCGGACGCGCGCGUGGGGUGUGAAAUCUGGCCGCUUAACGGCCAGGCGCCAUCCCAUACGGCGCGUCUGGAGCAAUGCAGAGGUCGGUGGAAUUGCCGGUGUAGUGGUGAAAUGCGUAGAGAUCGGCAGGAACACCCAGGGGGGAAACCAGCCGACUGG
rnacentral:rRNA from 1 species